CUGCGAACGGCUCAUUAUAUCAGUAAUAAUUUCUUCGGUAGUUUCUUUUAUAUGGAUACCUGCAGUAAUUCUGGAAAUAAUACAUGCUGUAAGAGCCCUGUAUGGGGCUGCACUUAUUAGAUUGAAGCCGAUUUUAUUGGUGAAUCAUGAUAAUUGAGCAGAUUGACUUUUUUGGUCAAUGAAUCGUUUGAGUUUCUGCCCCAUCAUUUGUCAACGGUAGUGUAUUGGACUACGGGGACUAUAACGGGGGACGGAAAGUUAGGGCUCGCCGCCGGAAAGGGAGCCUGAAAAACGGCUACCAUAUCCAAGGAUAGCAGCAGGGGCGUAAAUUACCCACUGGGGACUCCCCGAGGUAGUGACAAAAAAUAUCGAUGCGAAGCGGGUAUGCGUUUUGCUAUCGGAAUGAAAGCAAUGUAAAACCCUCAUCGAGGAUCAACUGGAGGGCAAGUCUGGGGCCACCACCCCCGGUAAUUCCAGCUCCAAAAGCAUAUGCUAAAGUUGUUGCAGUUAAAAAGCUCGAAAUUGAAUUUCUGGCAUGGGCGACCGGGGCUUUCCCUGAAUGGGGAUUGAUUGUCUGGGUUGCCUUGGCCAUCUUUUUCUUUUCUUUUUGGGGGAAAAAAUCUUUCACUGGAAUCAAAGCAAAGGGUUCCAAACAGGUCCUAUGACCGGUUUGUUUAUUAUGGGAAGAAAAAAAAAGGAACUGGGGGGCUAUUUUGUUGGUUUGCCCCC
rnacentral:rRNA from 1 species